UCGGCCCCUCGCUCGCUGCCCCCGGCACUUCCCUCCCGAAAAGCCUCGGCUCGCCCCAGCCCUUCUCUCCUGGAAAACUCGGCCAGCCGCCGCCGCCUCUCCUGCCAGCCUCGGGCACGUCCCAGCCUUUCUCUUCUCAAAACCUUGGGUGUCCCCUGAAUUUUUCUUCCAAAAACCUCGGGAACUCCCCAACCCUUCUCUUCCCAAACGCUUAGACAGGUCCCUCGCUUUCUCCUCUGAAGAGCUCGAGCGUGUCCCAACCCUGCUGUCCCAAAAACCUGCGGCACCCCCAGCCCUCCUCUUACCCAAGCUUUGGGCACGUCACAGAUCUUCUCUUCUGGGAACAGCGGAUACCCUCAGCCCAUCUCUUCUGAAAACCUUUGGUAACUGAAAAGAGGCAAGUAUGAAGAGCAGCAACCUUUUUUUUGUUUGUUUUGUGCCGUUUGAAGGAAAACUCAGUGUCAUGAUAAUGGAUCCAGCUAUUUGCUGGUACAAAAGAUAUUUCCAAAGUGCUAGGUGCCCAAACUCCAAGAAAAGUCAGUGGAACUGGAGACAAUAACAGGUUUGAAAGCUGGCUGAGACUGCAGCAUUUGUGUUUUACUGAAGUGUUCUUGCAAUCUCCUUGGAGCUGAGCACCGCACCUCUGCUGCAGACUUCCUCCCUCAGAUGCAGGGCAGGAGGACUAGGGGAAGGAACAAUGGUCAUUUCUGGAGCAUUUUGAAGGCUCUUGCAUCAAGCACUGGUAUAAUGUAAUAUAAAUCCUUUAUAAAUAAAGA